CGCCAUAAGAACUAAGAGCAAAAAAUAUAUAUGGAAAAUGGGGACUGAAGCUUAACAGUGGGGCUGGGAUAUUCUGUGGAUGGAUGAUUAUCCUUUUCUGAGGGGAUAGAAACCAAGUUCUGAUCCUUAGCAAUGCUCCAUGUGUGAGCACUUGGCAUAUUGAAGAUGUUGGUGAAGUUGAGUUUGCUUUCAGCAGGCGAUUGGGAAUGAGGGAGAGUUUGAUGAACGGAAUAGGUGGUAUUUGUGUG
rnacentral:lncRNA from 1 species